GAACCCUCGCAAGAUAUAGGGUGAAGAACCCUAGACUCUAGGUUCAGCCGAGCGAAGCGAGACAACGUUGCCCGGCGAAGCCGAAUAGGCAACGGCCCGCAGGGAAGGGCGCGAAGCGACCGCAUAAAUCCCUAUCUCUCCGCCA
rnacentral:sRNA from 1 species